CGUUUGGCAGUUGAUAUCGGUUUUGACCGUUAGUGGCUGACAAUUUGCACUUCAUUAACGCAGUUCCUCGCCGUGCCCACACCGAGGAGUUGCGUUUUUUU
rfam:Lactobacillus oryzae DNA, contig: sequence03, strain: SG293.